rnacentral:pre_miRNA from 1 species
AAAAAGACAAACCCUAGAUUUCCGUGUCCAAUUUUAAUUGUCCGUCUUAUAUGAAAUUUUUUAUAAUUUGUAUUUUCAUUGUUGUUAGAUGAUAAAACAUGAUUAAUAUAUUAUGCGUGACUUGUCUUUUUAGUUUUUUUCAUAAUUUUUUUAAAUAAGACGGACAGUCAAACGUUGGGCAUAGAAAUCAGGGUU